CGGGGCUUAAAGUCUUGUAAUUGGAGUGAUGGGAAUUUAAACCUCUUCCAGAGUAUCAAUUGGAGGGCAAGUCUGGUGCCAGCAGCCGCGGUAAUUCCAGCUCCAAUAGCGUAUAUUAAAAUUGUUGCAGUUAAAAAGCUCGUAGUUGAAUUUCUGCUGCAUUGCUUGUGUCCCUCUGGGGUCUGUGCAUGUGGCUUUUUUCGGACGGAGUUUCUUUGUCUGAAUGUUUACUUUGAGAAAAUUAGAGUGCUCAAAGCAGGCUUUCGCCUUGAAUAGUUUAGCAUGGAAUAAUAAAGUAGGACUUUGGUUCUAUUUUGUUGGUUUUAGGUACCAAAGUAAUGGUUAAUAGGAACAGUUGGGGGCAUUCGUAUUUAACUGUCAGAGGUGAAAUUCUUAGAUUUGUUAAAGACGAACUACUGCGAAAGCAUUUGCCAAGGAUGUUUUCAUUAAUCAAGAAC
rnacentral:rRNA from 1 species